GACGAACGUUGGCGGCGUGCCUAAUACAUGCAAGUCAACUGAAAUGCCGGUAGCAAUACUGGUAUGGAGGUGGCGCACGGGUGAGUAACACGUAGGUAAUCUGCCUUCAGGUCUGACAUAACCCAUCGAAAGGUGAGCUAAUAUCAGAUGAUGCAGCGGCUUGACAUCAAGGCAGUUGUAAAGCUUCGGCGCCUGAAGAUGAGCCUGCGUCUGAUUAGCUAG
rnacentral:rRNA from 1 species